rnacentral:rRNA from 1 species
UACGUAGGGGGCAAGCGUUGUCCGGAAUUACUGGGCGUAAAGGGCGCGUAGGCGCCUUCUAAGUCGAACGUGAAAUCCCCGGGCUCAACCCGGGAACUGCGUCCGAUACUGGAAGGCUUGAAUCCGGGAGAGGGAUGUGGAAUUCCAGGUGUAGCGGUGAAAUGCGUAGAUAUCUGGAGGAACACCGGUGGCGAAGGCGACAUCCUGGACCGGUAGUUGACGCUGAGGCGCGAAAGCCAGGGGAGCAAAGCGGGAUUAGAAACCCGG